GGUCACGGUAAUCGGGAUUACUGGGCGUAAGCGCGCGUAGGCGGUUUGUUAAGUCAGAUGUGAAAUCCCCGGGCUCAACCUGGGAAUUGCAUUUGAGACUGGUAGGCUAGAGUGUGGUAGAGGUGAGUGGAAUUUCAGGUGUAGCGGUGAAAUGCGUAGAGAUCUGAAGGAACAUCAGUGGCGAAGGCGACUCACUGGGCCAUUACUGACGCUGAGGUGCGAAAGCGUGGGUAGCAAACAGGAUUAGAUACCCUGGUAGUCCACGCCCUAAACGAUGUCAACUAGGUGUAUGGAGAAUUUAUUCUUUGUGUAUCGAAGCUAACGCGAUAAGUUGACCGCCUGGGGAGUACGGUCGCAAGACUAAAACUCAAAUGAAUUGACGGGGGCCCGCACAAGCGGUGGAGCAUGUGGUUUAAUUCGAUGCUACGCGAAGAACCUUACCUGGCCUUGACAUGUACGGGAAGAUUGAAGAGAUUCGAUUGUGCCUUCGGGAACCGUAACACAGGUGCUGCAUGGCUGUCGUCAGCUCGUGUCGUGAGA
rnacentral:rRNA from 1 species